rfam:Ovis aries breed Texel chromosome 14, whole genome shotgun sequence.
UCCCUGCUGGUACAGUGGCUAGGACUCUGCACUCCCAAUGCAGGUGCCCCGGGUUAGAUCCCCGGUUAGGGAA